ACUUCUGGACGAAAAGACCGUAAUUCUAUCAAUCACCGUAAGAGAACUUGAAUGACGUGUUCAAAACUGAACUGAAAAUCAACUUAAAUUCUUCAAUUCCACAUCGAAUUGCAAUUCGGCUUCGUCGAGAAACCAACCUUUUUUCCCCGUCCACCGCAGUGAUUCAUUCAAAAGCCUUAAAUGGCCAGUAUUGGAACUAUUCUGAUACAGCUUUAAGUUUCAAAAGCCACACAAAAACUGUCACAGAUUACUCCUUUUCCUUGGAAAGGAAACAGAUUCGAGUCGGCACCCACCACAGAAAAUAAACAAAAAAAAAAUUCAUUUCCUGAUAUUCGGACACCACCUCCGACGAUUUUAUACAGAACGUCCUCUCCCCCUCCCCUAAUGAAUAAAACUUCAUUAUCAAGUGGUUGUACAGAUAUAAUUUUGCCAAUCGUCCAGUGCAACUGCUUACCCAUCACUCACGGAUACACAUACUGAUGGACCAUGUAAAGAUCAGGUUAACAAAUCUCUCACUGACGAGUUGACACUUUCGAGUGUGCAUUUUCAGCAAUCCUUCUCAGUAAGCUCUCUUGGUAAGUUUAAAAAAAGGAAAAAGGAAUGAGCCGAAAUAACCAAAACAGAAGCAAAUGAGCUAUAUUGUCCCUCCUCGUUCUCAACCCUUCUGAACAAUCCAUGUAGUCUCUCGGCCUGACGGAGAAGAACUGGGAAAAAGCUUGGAACAGAGGAGUAGAAUUCAACAUGGCGGCGGAUGUGGUUGGAUAUGAAGGAAAAUCACACUUGGCUUUAGAAUAAAACCUCGGACAGGAAUGUAACUUGACAUUUCUAAUAUUUUAAGCGAAUUUUCCAGCAUUUGGUGGCAUGUGGACCCAAGACAGAGAGAAACGGCGGCUGCAAAACAAAGAAACGAAAGCCACGUUUUUCACGUGAAUUCUGAACAUUCAUGUCAAGAAGAGAAGAUUUUUUCACACUAAAGAAGUAGAAACAAGACCAAAAAUAGAAGAGUUUUCUAACCAGAGAAUUGUGAAAAAGAGGAAUGUUCAUGCUGUUUUGCAAUAAGAAAAGCUCAGUAUGCCUCUAUAUCAUGGAUGAAGGUGCCUAGGUAUUUGUAAGGACAUCAGUCAGAUUGGAGGAGUGUGGUUUUUGCACACUAUCAAGACCUUCAAAAUAAUACAUGGCAUUGACAAGACAUUAAUUUUAAGAGGAGACAGAUGGGAUAGAAACCUCACAGAUUUUGGAAGGAAGCAUAGACGGAAAUGGCUACAAGAUCAUUUUUACGUCUAAAGGAGGGCAUAAUACUGCAAAGAUCAUGAACAAGUUUGAAAUGGAGUUCUGAGUUAUUUUGUUUCCUUCAGAUCGUAAAAGGAGGACAAGAAAAUGGAAGGUCCAAGUUUCAGACUUCAGUUUGACCAAAAUUUUUCAUCGCAUGAACUCCUCCUUCAACAUCAUAUGACCAUCAUCGUUGCAUAUGUGGAAAAGCAACAGGAUGCGUAGAGGGUCUUAACAGGGUUUAACCGUCAGCUGUCAGAGGGCUUAAAAUGUAACUGUCAGCCGUCAGAGGGCUUAAAAUGUAACUGUCAGCCGUCAGAGGGCUUAAAAUGUAACUGUCAGGCGUUAGAGAAUGACAAAUCCGAAAAUAGCUGAAUAUUUCUUGUAAUACGCAUGUGUAUUAGGACAGACAUUUGCUCUACAAGAAAAGCAUGCGUUUUCAAAAGAAUAAUGUUUGUACCACAAAGUAGACAACUUAUUAAAACACUUAAACGAUGCCUUUGAAGAGUGGGCAUGGUGGGGGAGGAUGGUCGGACGAAAAAGAAAAGACUAGAAUUUUAAUAUUACUGUACUAAAAGAUAUCACUGACUAGAAUUAUUGUAAUAUUACUGUACUAAAAGAUAUCACUGACUAGAAUUAUUGUAAUAUUACUGCACUAUAAGAUUGUAAGAGGAAUAUUGUAAAAUUACUAUUGUUAUAGACAUGUACAUUAAAGGAUUGUAUUGUAAUACUGUACUGUAAUAUCAGAUAAUAACUUACUAGAAUUAUUGUAAUCUUACUGUACUAUAAGAUAUAACAGACUAGAGUUAUUGUAAUAUUACUGUACUAUAAGAUAUAACAGACUAGAGUUAUUGUAAUAUUACUGUACUAUGAGAUUGUAAGAGGAAUAUUGUAAAAUUACUAUUGUUAUAGACAUGUAUAUUAAAGGUUGUAUUGUAAUACUG
rnacentral:lncRNA from 1 species